GCCGAGGUGGCGGAAUUGGUAGACGCGCACGUUUGAGGGGCGUGUGGGGCAACCCGUGCGGGUUCGAGUCCCGCCCUCGGCACUA
rnacentral:tRNA from 1 species